GACGAACGCUGGCGGCGUGCUUAACACAUGCAAGUCGAACGGAAAGGCCCUGCUUUUGUGGGGUGCUCGAGUGGCGAACGGGUGAGUAACACGUGAGUAACCUGCCCUUGACUUUGGGAUAACUUCAGGAAACUGGGGCUAAUACCGGAUAGGAGCUCCUGCUGCAUGGUGGGGGUUGGAAAGUUUCGGCGGUUGGUGAUGGACUCGCGGCUUAUCAGCUUGUUGGUGGGGUAGUGGCUUACCAAGGCUUUGACGGGUAGCCGGCCUGGGAGGGUGACCGGCCACAUUGGGACUGAGAUACGGCCCAGACUCCUACGGGAGGCAGCAGUGGGGAAUAUUGCACAACGGGCGGAAGCCUGAUGCAGCAACGCCGCGUGCGGGAUGACGGCCUUCGGGUUGUAAACCGCUUUCGCCUGUGACGAAGCGUGAGUGACGGUAAUGGGUAAAGAAGCACCGGCUAACUACGU
rnacentral:rRNA from 1 species